rnacentral:rRNA from 1 species
UGAACGCUGGCGGCGUGCCUAAUACAUGCAAGUCGAACGAACUUCCGUUAAUUGAUUAUGACGUACUUGUACUGAUUGAGAUUUUAACACGAAGUGAGUGGCGAACGGGUGAGUAACACGUGGGUAACCUGCCCAGAAGUAGGGGAUAACACCUGGAAACAGAUGCUAAUACCGUAUAACAGAGAAAACCGCAUGGUUUUCUUUUAAAAGAUGGCUCUGCUAUCACUUCUGGAUGGACCCGCGGCGUAUUAGCUAGUUGGUGAGGUAAAGGCUCACCAAGGCAGUGAUACGUAGCCGACCUGAGAGGGUAAUCGGCCACAUUGGG